rnacentral:lncRNA from 1 species
AUUUUGAAGAAGAGAAGAAAUGAAGCAUUUUUGGUUGGAGGGAGGGAACAGGGUUUGGCUUGCUGACAUUUCUUUUGUUGUGAUGUUGUAUAGGUCUCGCUUGACUGCGAAAAGGAGAAAGGAGGAGCGUGUGCAGGGAGGUCAGGUCCUGCCAGGGCUUCCUGGGAAAUGAGGAGAAAUGAAGAGGGUAAGAUAACCAAGGUCAGCACCUCACUUCAAGCUGCCAGUUGGGCUCCUCCUGGGGAAGAGAACUGCAUGUUUUUAAGAAAAUCACACUUCAGCAGAAGUCUGCCUUCAACAACACGCCAGAGCACUGUGUGAUGCCAAGGAAAUCAUUUGCUGCAGAGCCCCAAUACUGCAAUCCUUGUUUUUCCUGGGAUAUCUCCCAUGGACCUUCUGGCUGAUUUUUCUCUCAUGAGAUCUAACAUGAUCAUCGUCUGUUGUGCAUAUUACUUUUCUAAGGGCAUAAACAGCCUGGUGUCGUGGGGCAGGCUGCUGGUGCUCAUCUCCAUGGAGCUUAAACUAGGACGCGGGGGCACAAGCAUGGGGAUGCUGCAGCAAACACCACAGCGGAUGGAGUGGGAGCCUCCCCGGGCCAAGGUGAUCUUCACCCUCCCGUGAUGAUCUCAGCUUCCUGCAACCUCCUACUUGUAUGGGUUAGUGUCUUUCCAGGACUGCACAAUGGCAUCCUACAAUGCCCUUUGUGGGGUGAAAUCCCAGUCAUGCCGGUCCCCACAGCCUCUUCCUGCAAGGAGUCUGCCCACAAACUGCUUUUAUUUAGUGUGGCAAAGCACAGGUUUGUAAAAGGGCUUAGGUACUGCAAGACCAUGCCAGCUCAUGUAUUGUGUUAGUAAAAUAAACGUUGUUGUCUUUUAAAGGAAGGCGUUGAA